rnacentral:miRNA from 1 species
UCCAUGCUUCUGUAGGUCGGCGG